rnacentral:lncRNA from 1 species
UACAAGUGACAUUCGAGCUCCAUGAAACAGUAUAUGAGGAGUGCAGUAGUUUACAGAGACAGAAAACCAACCUCCAAAAGAAGCAGGUCUACUCUGCUGGCAUAUCCGAUUAUCCACCAUGAGUGAAAAGCAAGUUCGAAGCAAACAGUCACCACUCACCACCAGCAUCACUCUCUGUGAAGCAAAAAGAAAGAUCAGUUUGUCAGUGCACUACAAUCAGUGAACUUCUCAUGGUAGAUGAAUGUAGCUUUUACCAUUCAAUUGGCUACCAUCAAGUUCAAAUAUAUAAAUAUUAUGACAUGCAGUCAUCACUAGCUCUUCUUUCCUGUGCUGCACAUGCAAGGAGCAUCAUGCCUAUCAUGGCUGCUCUUUGUCCCACAUAUCCAAGAAUCCAGGAACUAUUUGACAGAUCCACCCUUCCUGGAUCACAUCACCCCGAUCAGCUCUUCCCUUGCACAGUUGUAACCAAACAUACGCCUGACAAUCGAAACCGUCCAUCCAACAGACAGUCAGACACUGUGAUACUAGCAUAGCAGAGGACCUGAAAAUCGAACCUGUUAUGAUCCACAUACCUGUAGUUAGCUGUGCAAAAGAAUCAAAUAAGUGUGCUCAAGGAGGGAUCUAUACGACAAAAUGACACACAAGAUGGCGAGAUGUGUGUUGAUGUCAUUCUUAGCUUCAUCUGGAUUUUCAUCCCUUGACUCAGAGGACUUGAAAAGAACUCUGAAUGAUACAAGAUGACGUACUCCAUUAAAAGUGUAAUGCGCAAUUUGACUUAGUACGGUUUCCGAAAUUAAAAUUUGACCCAUUAUUUCUCUUAAACUACAAUGUUAGUAGCAAUAAAACCAUAACCACAAGAUGGUGCCUUCAAAAAUGAAUCUAAUGAUGCCACUUCUGUAUAACAAUUUUUGCAUCUCGUAAGGCUAAUUGUUGGUUGAAAAUUACAAUAAUUGGAUCUCUAAAAUGUACACACACCUAAAAAACGGGGGGAGUUCUUGACUAAUAUGUGGCCCCUCUUGCUAUCAUGAGGAAUUGUUUGACCCUACAUUCCCACAAAAUACCACAUGAGCACAUUUAAGAGUUCAGUUAGGGACCAUCUGGGUAGCCUAAAGAAGCCGCAAAAAAAAAUCAUUAUGCGAGCUGGCACCUAUUCCCCCCUUUUUUUUGUUCGAUAAGAAAAUUAUUGUAUUUGGAUGUCAACACACUACAACAGAUGCACAGCAUGAACAAGGGCAAGUUGAAAUGAGUACAGUUCUGCAAGAUGAUUGCCACAGCAAUGAAUCCCGACACCGAACUUGUUGAAUUGUAGAUGCUAACCUAACUCUCCUGCUGUUAUCUCACAAUAAAGGAGACAAGUUGGAAACAACAGAGUAACAUAUUGCAUAUUUACGUGUUGUCUGUAAUGACCAGAUUUCCACUUUUUUUUCUGACAGAUUAUAUCUGAGUUAAUUCUACCCUUAGCAAUCAUAUAACAUAGUAUAAGACAACACUGUGAAAUAGGUAUAAAUAUGCAACUUUUUAUCUAUUGUACUAAUCAAAUACUCCAUGAGGAGAGUAGACCAACCAUGAGAAUCAAAUAACAUAUUCGCAUCGAUGUAACUAGGCUAGUGUUUGUUAAACUGCUAACUAUUGUGUGCUAGCAGCCUACCACCUCGUUCUGAUCAAUGAGAUCCACAGCAGAAGUGACAAAAUAUCAGCUAGUACAAAGCUACCCACCAAAAGAAUGCCAGAGCCAUUGAUACUGCAGUUUGCAUCGACCUAAAACAUUGGGUAUUACCAAACGAACAAUAUAUCAAUCUUAUUUUGUAACAAUAAGAACUUCCCACAACACGAGCACAGACCCGACAUAGCAAUCUUGUUAGUCCUAAACCAGCAUAUAACACAGAGUUUCUAGUACAGCAGGCCCAAGAACCAUCCAUGUGCCCACUGCCCACAAUUCUAACUCGCCACAGGCCGACCGAGCACGAAGUCAGCACAUGAAAGAAAAGGCUCGCCACGGGACCAGAGGAGCCUCUGGCUGGGGGCGCGCGCAAGCAGCCAGGGUAGACGCAGGCAGAAAUCUGCAUCGGCUGCGAAACCCACCUGAUUACCUGUUUGAACGAAACGAUCCCGGCCACCGCUUCGUCCCCACACCGCAAACACCAUCAUCACCCGGCCGCGGGGCGCGCACAACUUGAGGCAACGGAACAAAUUAAAGACGGCGGGAGGAGGGAGCAUCAUUUAUUCUUCUGAAUCCCUUGCUCCUCCGCGGAGUCGUCCGGCGCGGCGGCAUCCGAGAAGCGAUUAUUCUACUUCAUAUCGCCGACAGGAUCGCAUCUGGUAAUUGGAUGAAGCUAGAUGUGGGGUGGAACCGUGGAAGCAAGGGUUGUGGGAGAAACUGAGAAUGGGCGGUCCGUGAGCAGGUGCUGAGGCGCGGGGGCAGGAGCGUACCGGGCAGGCAGGUCGGGCACUCCGGCUCGUCGCAGGGAUCGGGCGGGGGCAAAAGGCGAUCGUCGUCGCCGAGGAGUCCGAG